rnacentral:rRNA from 1 species
CGAAAAGUGGGGUGGCGCACGGGUGCGUAACGCGUCGGUAAUCUGCCCUGAGGUCUGACAUUAACCCGUCGAAAGGCGGGCUAACAUCAGAUGAUAUAUAAUCACGACAUCGUGGAAAUAUCAAAUCUUCGGAGCCGUUGGGAUGAGCCUGCGUCUGAUUAGGUAGUUGGCGGAGUAAUAGCCCACCAAGCCUACGAUCAGUAGCUGGUCUGAGAGGAUGAUCAGCCACACUGGAACUGAGACACGGUCCAGACUCCUACGGGAGGCAGCAGUAAGGAAUAUUGCUCAAUGGGGGAAACCCUGAAGCAGCAACGCCGCGUGAAGGAUGAAAUACUUUGUAUGUAAACUUCUGUAAGAUGGGAAAAAUAUUCUCCUCGGGAGAAUUGAUUGUACCAUCAGAGUAAGCCCCGGCUAACUACGUG